AUAAUCAAUUAGAUAAUUCGUUUUCAACCUCUUUAAUUAACUGAUAUGGAUACUUGACAGUCAGUACAGAAAUGUCUAACUGACUUUCAUCAUAUUGUCACUCAAUUAAAUAAUAGAUUAUUAGUUUAUUAAAUAAUACAUAUUUUAGAGUAACAGUGUAUUUUACACAACAAGUAUUUAUUUUCUACGCGUCACUAGGUUCGUACGCGACAUGUUUGCGCCGUGGAGACUUUGCAGCUGCCUGUGUGUGCGGCGUGAGCUACAAGCUGAACCGAGCUUCGCUAAAACAAGCUAAUACGAAAAAGGGAAGCGUUUUCUACUAAACUUCCGAAUGCAUACAUUACCGAAUUUAGUGAAACUAUACCCAUAUGUGAUCAACGUUUCAGUAGGUAUAUAACAUUUUAUAAGUACUGUUGUUAGUUUAAAUAAACACACCAUAGUUGUAA